UCGAUGAAAGAGAUAUUUUAUUUUAGGUAAUUUUUAAAUUUAUAUUAACAUUAUAAAAAAUCAUGUGAAAGUUGUACAAAAUUGUACAGUUUUUUCUUUAUUAUUACAAAUUGAGUGAAGGUUGAUCAUCAGUGAAAUGUGAAAUUUUUUUAGUGUAUUUAUUAUAUAGUGUCGAGUGUCCUUGUAUAAAAUUUCUUGAUCCGUAAGGAUAUACUAAUAGUUAGUCUUCUACGAUGGUUGCUGUCAGAAUUGGUGGUGGUUUCUAGAUAUGGUUGUUGAUGGUAGCCGGUGUUGGCUGACAGAGAGCAGUAUAGCCACAAAAACAAAGUAAAACUCAAAGGAAUUUCCUGCUGGAGUUUAUUAUUAUGACAAACUGGUCAAUUUAGCAUUAUUAUCUUAGCAUUCCUGUUGAGGAUAGCCUUAGUGAUUGAUUGGUAUGCAUUUCAUCUUCUCAUUUCAAACUAUCAAUCAAUUAAUUAACAUUUUCUAAUUAAGUUGGCUAAGCAUGAGAUACAAGUAAAAUCAAAAUAGUUACUAGCAAGAAGGAACUCCAACAAGAACCAACCCAGAUUCUCCUUUAUUCUCACAUCGUUUACAUUUACAUCUAAUGCAAAUUUUAUUUUUCAUGCCAUUUUAGUUCCUUACAAGCUUCAAUAAACCCCCCCUCAGGUUAUCUUGGAGCAUGAAUCGAGAAUUUGAAUUGAGAAAAAAAAAAUUAUGUGGAUUCGAUCUGUACUACCACUACUACAAAAGCAAAAAGGCAAGGAAAAUAAUACUAAAAAUGUACAAACAAUUGUAAAAGACAAUCAUCAUCUUGGACCAGACAACCACAUCAGGAGCAAAAUGAGAAAUGGAAACAAUAAACUGGGGAGAUCUACUCCGGUGGUAAGAAUGAACCAUAUUAUUGAAGUUUUGGCGUGAGCUCUCUUCUUUCUGCCAUUCCUGCCAUCUUUCAGCUAAACCAUCGCCUUCCAGCAUUUGCAACACCUCCGACAUUUUCGGUAGUUCCACCGGGGAGCUUUGCGUGCAAAGCACAGCAGCAACUUGAAUUACCUGCUCCAGUUCUUCCUCUAUGUAAUUACCCAGGAGAUGGGGAUCGUCAACCAACGUUGCCAGUUUCUUAUGAUUUAGAAGUCCUUUUACCUUUAGUUUUGAGUUCAUAUCACAGCCAACUUGUAUUAUGCAAGUGUUUGUUUAUUACUAGGAAGAUCAAAAUACCACGGAUCAACAAGAAAAAACAUGUAAAAAUGUACUGAGUAACACUAAAACUCUAUCAGAGAUACUGAUGAGAAUACAAGAGGAUCAAUUGAAAGUAAGCUUGUGGGAGAAAUUGCAAAACAAGUCCUCAAGAAUAAGAGAUAUUACAAUCUCAUUGACAAAACACACUCUCAGCAAACUGUAAAGUUCGGGAGAUUUUAGAAUCUUGUUGUUUCAAUAGAAUAUCGCCAUGAGGCCUUUUACACAUCAUCCAUGUCUUUGAUUGAAUGAGAAAAGGCUGAGUAAGGCAGCCAUAUAACACCCAAAUUCACAGUUAUUCUAAACGUAUUUGUGAGAAUCCUAUCUAGUUAGAGGUAUAUAGGUAAGAUUAGUAUAUGAUAUUAAUAAAAUGUAUUGUGG
rnacentral:lncRNA from 1 species